rnacentral:rRNA from 1 species
GAUGAACGCUGGCGGCGUGCUUAACACAUGCAAGUCGAACAGAAAGGCCCAAGCUUGCUUGGGUGCUCGAGUGGCGAACGGGUGAGUAACACGUGGGUGAUCUGCCCUGCACUUUGGGAUAAGCCUGGGAAACUGGGUCUAAUACCGGAUAGGACCAUCGUUUAGUGUCGGUGGUGGAAAGUUUUUCGGUGUGGGGUGAGCUCGCGGCCUAUCAGCUUGUUGGUGGGGUAAUGGCCUACCAAGGCGUCGACGGGUAGCCGGCCUGAGAGGGUGUACGGCCACAUUGGGACUGAGAUACGGCCCAGACUCCUACGGGAGGCAGCAGUGGGGAAUAUUGCACAAUGGGCGCAAGCCUGAUGCAGCGACGCCGCGUGGGGGAUGACGGCCUUCGGGUUGUAAACUCCUUUCGCCAAGGACGAAGCGUUUUGUGACGGUACUUGGAGAAGAAGCACCGGCUAACUACGUG